GAUGAACGCUGGCGGCGUGCCUAAUACAUGCAAGUCGAACGCUGACGGAGGAGCUUGCUCUUCUGGAUGAGUUGCGAACGGGUGAGUAACGCGUAGGUAACCUGCCUGGUAGCGGGGGAUAACUCUUGGAAACGAUAGCUAAUACCGCAUGACAACAGUUAUUGCAUGAUAACCGUUUAAAAGGGGCAACUGCUCCACUACCAGAUGGACCUGCGUUGUAUUAGCUAGUUGGUGAGGUAACGGCUCACCACGGCGACGAUACAUAGCCGACCUGGGAGGGGGAUCAGCCACACUUGGGCUUGGACACGGCCCAGGAUCCUACGGGAGGGAGCAGGAGGGAAUCUUCGGAAAUGGACGGAAGUCUGACCGAGCAACGCCGCGGGAGUGAAGAAGGUUGUCGGGUCGGAAAGCUCUGUUGUAAGGGAAGAACGAGUGUGAGAGUGGAAAGUUCACACUGUGACGGUAUCUUACCAGAAAGGGACGGCUAACUACGUG
rnacentral:rRNA from 1 species